rnacentral:misc_RNA from 1 species
AGUCGUAACAAGGUUUCCGUAGGUGAACCUGCGGAAGGAUCAUUCUUGUAUACCUGGUUAGGCGUAAGCCAAACCAAACCAUGUGUGAAUCAGUGUUCUCUUCCCGGCGGAAGCUUUUGCGCUCUGGGCUUGCCUGGACGCUUAGGCGACGGCUGGGGUUUUGCCUCGCAAGAGGUCAAUCAUGUUGACUAGCAGGGAACUCAAAAGUAACAAAUUACAACUUUUAACGAUGGAUCUCUUGGCUCUCACACCGAUGAAAAACGCAGC